UACGUAGGGGGCUAGCGUUGUCCGGAAUCAUUGGGCGUAAAGCGCGUGUAGGCGGCCCGAUAAGUCCGCUGUGAAAGUCAAGGGCUCAACCCUGGAUGCCGGUGGAUACUGCAGGGCUGAGUCCGGAAGAGGCGAGUGGAAUUCCUGGUGUAGCGGUGAAAUGCGCAGAUAUCAGGAGGAACACCAGUAGUGCGAAGGCAGCUCGCUGGGACGUGACUGACGCUGAGGCACGACGAAGCGUGGGGAGCAAACAGGAUUAGAAC
rnacentral:rRNA from 1 species